CACCAAAAAUUCCAAAAGUCGGUUUUAUCCUUAAAAGGUUCCCUCCUGUGCGUUUCUUUUCUCAGAUGUCAGUGAUCUGGCAAUUAGCAAGAAGGCCCAACAGACCAAGGUUUGCCAUGAAUGCAAGAGCUGGCAGUACCCUCUCCAAGGAACCUGAAGAGCCCAGCCCCCAGGGAGGCAGGGAAAUGGAUUGCUCUACCACUGAGUGUCUCAAGCAAGCUCCAGAUUUCUUAUGCUGAAAAGAAAAGCUAGAGAUUAAAUGCUACAGAGUUUCAGGACACAGACCAUGCGUAGUAGCUGAAAUGAAGAAGCACCUAAAGAAGACUCUGCUGUUGUAUAUGCUGUAAUUUACAGUUUUCAUCAAGAUUAACUCAGAGGAAAUAGAUUUAUACAUAUAGACACAUUUGUCUCUGCUUUUCUUCCUAACCCCUUCUCCUUUAUUUGUUUCAUUUUUUCUUUGUCUCAGCGCAUCUCUUCUGCUCUUCUAUUCUUGUUUCCUUAAAUAAUCCCACCACUUCAUAUGUUUAGAUGUCUGCAGUGAAAAAAGUAAAAGAAAAUGGGUCAACGCUGGCUUUGCAGAGAACUUUAAUGAGCAACGCCCAAGGAAAUUCGGCUGUAAAGUCAGUGAAGAAGCCAAAAUGUUUAAAUUUCCCAGGCUCCAAUGCAUACUAGCCUAAUGUUCGUUUCAUCAGGAGGA
rnacentral:lncRNA from 1 species